rnacentral:rRNA from 1 species
UACGAACUGUGCAAACGUUAUUCGGAAUCACUGGGCUUAAAGGGUGCGUAGGCGGCUCGUUAGGUAGGGUGUGAAAGCCCCCGGCUCAACCGGGGAAUUGCGCCCUAAACCGGCGGUCUGGAGUGAGAUAGGGGUGUGUGGAACUUCCAGUGGAGCGGUGAAAUGUGUUGAUAUUGGAAGGAACGCCGGUGGCGAAAGCGACACACUGGGUCUCAACUGACGCUGAGGCACGAAAGCCAGGGGAGCAAACGGG